AAUAUCUCCUAAGACCAUGAUAUCAGAGAAGUCUAUCCGGAACUUGCUCAGCAAAGUAGCCAUCCUAAAACAAAAAUGAAUAGCACUGAGAGACAUGAAAGCUGUAUCUUUUUAGAUGGUUAUGACUGAAUUUUAUUCUCUCUGUUAAUAACCACCAGCCAUCAUUCAUGUUGGUACAAACUGUUGCAGCCAAAUAGAUCUGAUCUCCACAUGCCAUACAGUUCAUUCUCAUUACACCAUCUAUCAGAACUAGGGGCUGAAUGAUAUUCCACUGUUUGAAUUCAUAUGUUCUGGAUAUUAAACUUCAUCAGAUGCAUGACUUACAAGUAUGUUCUUCCAUUCUGUAGGUUGUCUUUCACUUUCUUGAUGUCCUUUGAUGAACGU